ACGGCUCAGUAACACGUGGAUAACCUGCCCUUGGGACCGGCAUAACCCCGGGAAACUGGGGAUAAUUCCGGAUAACGCACAUAUGCUGGAAUGCUUUAUGCGUGAAAUGGAUUCGUCUGCCCAAGGAUGGGUCUGCGGCCUAUCAGGUAGUAGUGGGUGUAAUGGACCUACUAGCCUACAACGGGUACGGGUUGUGAGAGCAAGAGCCCGGAGAUGGAUUCUGAGACAUGAAUCCAGGCCCUACGGGGCGCAGCAGGCGCGAAAACUUUACAAUGCGGGAAACCGUGAUAAGGGGACACCGAGUGCCAGCAUCAUAUGCUGGCUGUCCAGGUGUGUAAAAUACACCUGUUAGCAAGGGCCGGGCAAGACCGGUGCCAGCCGCCGCGGUAACACCGGCGGCCCGAGUGGUGAUCGUGAUUAUUGGGUCUAAAGGGUCCGUAGCCGGUUUGGUCAGUCCUCCGGGAAAUCUGACAGCUCAACUGUUAGGCUUUCGGGGGAUACUGCCAGACUUGGAACCGGGAGAGGUAAGAGGUACUACAGGGGUAGGAGUGAAAUCUUGUAAUCCCUGUGGGACCACCUGUGGCGAAGGCGUCUUACCAGAACGGGUUCGACGGUGAGGGACGAAAGCUGGGGGCACGAACCGGAUUAGAUACCCGGGUAGUCCCAGCCGUAAACGAUGCUCGCUAGGUGUCAGGCAGGGCGCGACCGUGUCUGGUGCCGCAGGGAAGCCGUGAAGCGAGCCACCUGGGAAGUACGGCCGCAAGGCUGAAACUUAAAGGAAUUGGCGGGGGAGCAC
rnacentral:rRNA from 1 species